CGUGCGAUACAGGGUGACAGCCCCGUACACAAAAAUGCACAUAUUGUGAGCUCGAUGAGUAGGGCGGGACACGUGGUAUCCUGUCUGAAUAUGGGGGGACCAUCCUCCAAGGCUAAAUACUCCUGACUGACCGAUAGUGAACCAGUACCGUGAGGGAAAGGCGAAAAGAACCCCGGCGAGGGGAGUGAAAAAGAACCUGAAACCGUGUACGUACAAGCAGUGGGAGCCUCUUAAUGGGGUGACUGCGUACCUUUUGUAUAAUGGGUCAGCGACUUAUAUUCUGUAGCAAGGUUAACCGAAUAGGGGAGCCGAAGGGAAACCGAGUCUUAACUGGGCGUUAAGUUGCAGGGUAUAGACCCGAAACCCGGUGAUCUAGCCAUGGGCAGGUUGAAGGUUGGGUAACACUAACUGGAGGACCGAACCGACUAAUGUUGAAAAAUUAGCGGAUGACUUGUGGCUGGGGGUGAAAGGCCAAUCAAACCGGGAGAUAGCUGGUUCUCCCCGAAAGCUAUUUAGGUAGCGCCUCGUGAAUUCAUCUCCGGGGGUAGAGCACUGUUUCGGCAAGGGGGUCAUCCCGACUUACCAACCCGAUGCAAACUGCGAAUACCGGAGAAUGUUAUCACGGGAGACACACGGCGGGUGCUAACGUCCGUCGUGAAGAGGGAAACAACCCAGACCGCCAGCUAAGGUCCCAAAGUCAUGGUUAAGUGGGAAACGAUGUGGGAAGGCCCAGACAGCCAGGAUGUUGGCUUAGAAGCAGCCAUCAUUUAAAGAAAGCGUAAUAGCUCACUGGUCGAGU
rnacentral:rRNA from 1 species